UUACGGUCACAUCAUGUUGAAACACCGAUUCCGUACGAUCACCGAAGGUAAGCAACCUCAAGCCUGGUCAGUACUUAGAUGGAUGACCGCUUGAGAAUACCAGUUGCUGUUA